UGGAGCAGCCACCACUGUGGCAGUGGCUGCCGCCACCCUGCAGGUAGGACUGAGGCUGGGACUGGACCAUGCUCCCCUCUCACACAGAGUCUGGAAGAGUUUCACACCUGAGAUAAGUGAUUGUCCUGACGUAUUCUGCUCUGGUCAAACCUCAUCUGCGGCACGGUGUUCAAUUCUGUGUACCAAACUUUAGGAUGUACAUUUAUCCUGGGAAUAUUACAGUUCUGGCAUUGGAUGAAAACUGUUUGCAAUUCUACA